GCCGAUGCAGCGCCGGGUCGCGUGGGUCUCCGGAGAGCGCGGGAAGGCGAAGGCGUCCCAGGAUGGUAGCGGAGCUUGGCCUUCCUCUCACCCCGCCCUCUCCAGGCCGCUGUUUGUCAGCGCACGUGUCUCCCUGCACGGUCUGAGGAAGGCCUGGACACCUGCGUUAAGCCGACCGAGACAAGGCUCCUGAACGCUGACUAUCUGCCCCAGAGCUGUGCUUGUGCUAUGCGGGAAACAGUAACCUGUAACUUGGGCCCCCAGACCCGGAGCCCCAUCUGACAAAGAUAAUUGCACACUCUUCUGGAGAAGCAGACACCCAUAUGCUUGACAGGACGCUUCCCUCUGCUCAAGCACUUCUUUAUUAACCUUAUGCUUAAAUCUGUGUUAACAUCUCUUAAGUGCCAGCUCUACCUCUUUUAAUUAAACGUUUUUAAGAAUUUC
rnacentral:lncRNA from 1 species